rnacentral:rRNA from 1 species
GUGUAAGUAUGAACUAAUUCUGACUGUGAAAUUGCGAAUGGCUCAUUAAAUCAGUUAUAGUUUGUUUGAUGGUACCUGCUACUUGGAUAACAGUGGUAAUUCUAGAGCUAAUACGUGCAAGAAAUCCCGACCUCUAGAAGGGAUGCAUUUAUUAGAUAAAAGGCUAGUCAUAUUCAUAAGGCCCACAUUAGAGGUUGUUAUUCGCAGGGAAAUAUUAUAGGAUUUGGUGUGCACUUGCGCCGCUGGUAGCGGCACGAUGCACAUGUCGGGUUUUGGUUCAAGAACGAUGUGAUCCCGCGGUCCCUAUGGAUUAAUCUCUAAGUUAAUAUUGGUCACCAUAGACUCAGAUUAUGAG